rnacentral:rRNA from 1 species
GACGGUGAGAGAUGAAAGCUAAAGGAGUGAUUAGGAUUAGAUACCCUAGUAAUUUUAGCCGUAAACGAUGGAAACUCACUGCCGAGCGAAAUACAACGAGCGGUGGUCAAGCUAACGCGUGAAGUUUCCCGCCUGGGGAUUACGCUUGCAAAAGUGAAACUCAAAGGAAUUGACGGGGACCCGCACAAGCGGUGGAGUAUGUGGUUUAAUUCGAUGCAACGCGAAAAACCUUACCAGGGUUUGAAAUCAUUUCAAAACUCCUUGAAAGAGGAGCCUCCUUCGGGAUGAAAUGACAGGUGGUGCAUGGCUGUCGUCAGCUCGUGUUGUGAAAUGUCGAGUUAAGUCUCGUAACGAGCGCAACCCAUGUCUCUUGUUGCUCUUUGAGUGCUUAAGAGAGACUGCCGACCAACAUCGGAGGAAGGUGUGGAUGAUGUCAAGUCAGCAUGCCCCUUACAUCCUGGGCUACACACGUACUACAAUGGGAGGGACAAUGAGCUGCAAACCUGCGAAGGCUAGCCAAUCUCAAAAACCCUCUCUCAGUUCGGAUUGCACUCUGCAACUCGAGUGCAUGAAGGUGGAAUCGCUAGUAAUCGCUGGUCAGCUAUACAGCGGUGAAUACGUUCCCGGGUCUUGCACACACCGCCCGU